CAGCAGCCGCGGUAAUACGAAGGGUGCAAGCGUUACUCGGAAUUACUGGGCGUAAAGCGUGCGUAGGUGGUGGUUUAAGUCCGUUGUGAAAGCCCUGGGCUCAACCUGGGAAUUGCAGUGGAUACUGGGUCACUAGAGUGUGGUAGAGGAUAGUGGAAUUUCCGGUGUAGCAGUGAAAUGCGUAGAGAUCGGAAGGAACAUCUGUGGCGAAGGCGACUAUCUGGGCCAACACUGACACUGAGGCACGAAAGCGUGGGGAGCAAACAGGAUUAGAUACUCCCGUAGUCCCUGUCUCUUAUAC
rnacentral:rRNA from 1 species